rnacentral:rRNA from 1 species
CGGGAAGAGCUCAAAUUUCGAAUCUGGCGGUCCUCGGCCGUCCGAGUUGUAAUCUAGAGAAGCGUCUUCCGCGCUGGACCGUGUACAAGUCUCCUGGAAGGGAGCAUCGUAGAGGGUGACAAUCCCGUCUCUGACACGGAGCCCAGGGCUAUGUGAUGCGCUCUCGAC